UGCCUCUGCAGCCAUUGGCCAGUUUGCAUAAGGUAGGCGAAACAAAUACUGUGUGUGUAUAUAUAUGUGUGUGUGUGUGUGUGUGUGUGUGUGUGUGUGUGUGUGUGUGUGUGUGUGUGUGUGUGUGUGUGUGUGUGUGUGUGUGUGUGUGUGUGUGUGUGU
rnacentral:lncRNA from 1 species